CACGUAGGGGGCAAGCGUUGUCCGGCUUUAUUGGGCGUAAAGAGCUCGUAGGCGGUUCGGUAAGUCAGGUGUGAAACCUCCAGGCUCAACCUGGAGACGCCACCUGAUACUGCUGUGACUCGAGUCCGGUAGGGGAGCGUGGAAUUCCUGGUGUAGCGGUGAAAUGCGCAGAUAUCAGGAGGAACACCAGCGGCGAAGGCGGCGCUCUGGGCCGGAACUGACGCUGAGGAGCGAAAGCGUGGGUAGCAAACAGG
rnacentral:rRNA from 1 species